rnacentral:rRNA from 1 species
UACGUAGGGUGCGAGCGUUGUCCGGAAUUACUGGGCGUAAAGGGCGCGUAGGCGGUUUGCUAAGUUGAAUGUGAAAACUCUGGGCUUAACCCAGAGCCUGCAUUCAAUACUGGCAGGCUAGAGUUCUGGAGGGGAUAGCGGAAUUCCUGGUGUAGCGGUGAAAUGCGUAGAUAUCAGGAGGAACACCGGUGGCGAAGGCGGCUAUCUGGACAGAGUCUGACGCUGAGGCGCGAAAGCUAGGGGAGCAAACAGG